CCCGGUGGCUAUAGGAGAGGGGAAACACCCGUUCCCAUGCCGAACACGGCAGUUAAGCCCUCUACCGCCGAUGGUACUGCGAGGGUUGCUUCGUGGGAGAGUAGGUCACUGCCGGGA
rnacentral:rRNA from 2 species